AACGAACGCUGGCGGCAUGCCUAACACAUGCAAGUCGAACGGGAUCCGGACUUCGGUCCGGUGAGAGUGGCGGACGGGUGAGUAACACGUGGGAACCUGCCUUUUGGUUCGGGAUAACCGCGGGAAACUGCGGCUAAUACCGGAUGCUCCCGAGAGGGAAAAGAUUUAUCGCCAGAAGAGGGGCCCGCGUCCGAUUAGGUAGUUGGUGGGGUAAUGGCCUACCAAGCCGACGAUCGGUAGCUGGUCUGAGAGGAUGACCAGCCACACUGGAACUGAGACACGGUCCAGACUCCUACGGGAGGCAGCAGUGGGGAAUUUUGGACAAUGGGGGCAACCCUGAUCCAGCAAUGCCGCGUGAGUGAAGAAGGCCUUCGGGUUGUAAGACUCUUUGUCUAGGGAAGAAACGGUAGAGUUCUAAUACAGCUUGCUAAUGACGGUACCUGAAGAAUAAGACACCGGCUAACUACGUGCCAGCAGCCGCGGUAA
rnacentral:rRNA from 1 species